rnacentral:rRNA from 1 species
CCCUUAGAUGUUCUGGGCCGCACGCGCGCUACACUGACGAAUGCAACGAGCUUAUAACCUUGGCCGAAAGGUCUGGGUAAUCUCCAAAUUUCGUCGUGAUGGGGAUAGAUUAUUGCAAUUAUUAAUCUUCAACGAGGAAUUCCUAGUAAACGCAAGUCAUCAACUUGCAUUGAUUACGUCCCUGCCCUUUGUACACACCGCCCGUCGCACCUACCGAUUGAAUGGUCCGGUGAAGCCUCCGGAUUGGCGCGCACCUCGGUGCCGCCGAGAAGUUGGCUAAACCUUACCAUUUAGAGGAAGGUGAANUCGUAACA